rnacentral:rRNA from 1 species
GACGAACCGUACGAACGUUAUUCGGAAUUACUGGGCUUAAAGGGUGCGUAGGCGGCGCAGUAAGUUGGGUGUGAAAUCCCUCGCUUAACCGAGGAAUUGCGCCCAAAACUACUGUGCUCGAGGGAGGUAGAGGUGAGCGGAACUUAGGGUGGAGCGGUGAAAUGCGUUGAUAUCCUAAGGAACACCGGUGGCGAAAGCGGCUCACUGGACCUCUUCUGACGCUGAGGCACGAAAGCUAGGGUAGCAAACGGG